UACGGGGGGGGCAAGCGUUGUUCGGAAUUACUGGGCGUAAAGGGCUUGUAGGUGGCCAACUAAGUCAGACGUGAAAUCCCUCGGCUUAACCGGGGAACUGCGUCUGAUACUGGAUGGCUUGAGUGUGGGAGAGGGAUGCGGAAUUCCAGGUGUAGCGGUGAAAUUCGUAGAUAUUCGGAAGAACACCAGUGGCGAAGGCGGCUCACUGGUCCGGUACUGACGCUGAGGUGCGAAAGCGUGGGGAGCAAACAGG
rnacentral:rRNA from 1 species